rnacentral:rRNA from 1 species
UGACUNGAGUGCAGAAGGGGAGAGUGGAAUUCCAUGUGUAGCGGUGAAAUGCGUAGAUAUAUGGAGGAACACCAGUGGCGAAAGCGGCUCUCUGGUCUGUCACUGACGCUGAGGCUNGAAAGCGUGGGUAGCGAACAGGAUUAGAUACCCUGGUAGUNCACGCCGUAAACGAUGAGUGCUAGGUGUUAGGCCCUUUCCGGGGCUUAGUGCCGGAGCUAACGCAAUAAGCACUCCGCCUGGGGAGUACGACCGCAAGGUUGAAACUCAAAGGAAUUGACGGGGGCCCGCACAAGCGGUGGAGCAUGUGGUUUAAUUCGAAGCAACGCGAAGAACCUUACCAGGUCUUGACAUCCCGAUGCUAUUCUUAGAGAUAGGAAGUUACUUCGGUACAUCGGAGACAGGUGGUGCAUGGUUGUCGUCAGCUCGUGUCGUGAGAUGUUGGGUUAAGUCCCGCAACGAGCGCAACCCUUAUUGUUAGUUGCCAUCAUUAAGUUGGGCACUCUAGCGAGACUGCCGGUAAUAAACCGGAGGAAGGUGGGGAUGACGUCAAAUCAUCAUGCCCCUUAUGACCUGGGCUACACACGUGCUACAAUGGUCGGUACAACGAGUUGCGAGCCGGUGACGGCAAGCUAAUCUCUGAAAGCCGAUCUCAGUUCGGAUUGGAGGCUGCAACUCGCCUCCAUGAAGUCGGAAUCGCUAGUAAUCGCGGAUCAGCACGCCGCGGUGAAUACGUUCCCGGGCCUUAUACACACCGCCCGUCACACCACGAGAGUUUGUAACACCCGAAGUCGGUGAGGUAACCUUUUAGGGGCCAGCCGCCUAAGGUGGGANGGAUGA